rnacentral:rRNA from 1 species
AGCGGCGAACGGGUGAGUAACACGUGGGUAACCUGCCUUCGAGAGGGGGAUAACCAUUCGAAAGGGUGGCUAAUACCCCAUAAGGCCACAGAUUCCAAGGAAUCAGGGGUAAAAGGUGGCAGAAACUUAGUUUCUGCUGUCGCUUGGAGAGGGGCCCGCGCGCCAUUAGUUAGUUGGUAGGGUAACGGCCUACCAAGACGACGAUGGCUAGCUGGUCUGAGAGGAUGAUCAGCCACACUGGGACUGAAACACGGCCCANACUCCUACGGGAGGCAGCAGUGAGGAAUUUUGCGCAAUGGGGGAAACCCUGACGCAGCGACGCCGCGUGGGUGAAGAAGGCUUUCGAGUCGUAAAGCCCUGUCAGGUGGGACGAAUAAAGCUCGUCGAUAAAACGGGCUUUUUGACGGUACCACCAGAGGAAGCACCGGCUAACUCCGUGCCAGCAGCCGCGGUAAUACGGAGGGUGCUAGCGUUGCUCGGAAUUACUGGGCGUAAAGCGCGUGUAGGCGG